CGGGGCAUAGCUCAGUGGUCAGAGCAGUCGGCUCAUAACCGAUUGGUCGCUGGUUCAAACCCAGCUGCCCCGACCA
rnacentral:tRNA from 1 species